rnacentral:rRNA from 1 species
GAUGAACGCUGGCGGCGUGCUUAACACAUGCAAGUCGAACGGAGCUGCUUUGAUGAAGUUUUCGGAUGGAUUUAAAACAGCUUAGUGGCGGACGGGUGAGUGACGCGUGGGUAACCUGCCUCACACUGGGGGAUAACAGUUAGAAAUGACUGCUAAUACCGCAUAAGCGCACAGUACCGCAUGGUAUAGUGUGAAAAACUCCGGUGGUACAAGAUGGACCCGCGUCUGAUUAGCUGGUUGGUGAGGUAACGGCCCACCAAGGCGACGAUCAGUAGCCGGCCUGAGAGGGUGAACGGCCACAUUGGGACUGAGACACGGCCCAAAACUCCUACGGGAGGCAGCAGUGGGGAAUAUUGCACAAUGGGGGAAACCCUGAUGCAGCAACGCCGCGUGAGUGAAGAAGGCUUUCGGGUUGUAAACUUCUUUUAAGAGGAAGAGCAGAAGACGGUACCUCUAGAAUAAGCCACGGCUAACUACAUG